GGCUGGAGAGAUGGCUCAGCGGUUGAGAGCACUGACUCCUCUUCCAAAGGUCUUGAGUUCAAACCCCAGCAGCCA
rnacentral:tRNA from 1 species